rnacentral:rRNA from 1 species
AGCGAACGCUGGCGGCAGGCCUAACACAUGCAAGUCGAGCGCUCGUAGCAAUACGAGAGCGGCAGACGGGAGAGUAACACGUGGGAACGUGCCCUUCAGUUCGGAACAACCCAGGGAAACUUGGGCUAAUACCGGAUACGCCCUUACGGGGAAAGGAUUUAUCGCUGAAGGAGCGGCCCGCGUCUGAUUAGCUAGUUGGUGAGGUAAUGGCUCACCAAGGCGACGAUCAGUAGCGGUCUGAGAGGAUGAUCAGCCUCACUGGGACUGAGACACGGCCCAGACUCCUACGGGAGGCAGCAGUGGGGAAUAUUGGACAAUGGGCGCAAGCCUGAUCCAGCCAUGCCGCGUGGGUGAUGAAGG